rnacentral:rRNA from 1 species
UACGUAGGGCGCAAGCGUUGUCCGGAAUUAUUGGGCGUAAAGAGCUCGUAGGCGGUCUGUCGCGUCGGUUGUGAAAACCCAAGGCUCAACCUUGGGCCUGCAAUCGAUACGGGCAGACUAGAGUACUGCAGGGGAGACUGGAAUUCCUGGUGUAGCGGUGGAAUGCGCAGAUAUCAGGAGGAACACCGGUGGCGAAGGCGGGUCUCUGGGCAGUAACUGACGCUGAGGAGCGAAAGCGUGGGGAGCGAACAGG